UGCAUCCGUCGUGACCAGGUGACGGAUCGUGAUCUUCACAGAUUUCAGACUUCACUGAGCAGCGACCGUAUCCAUGCCAUGGCUCACCAGGAAAACCGUCUGGAUUUGCGCUUUCCAGCGCAUGCAGUGCCGCAAGUAGUCAACACGACAAAAUAGACCUUCAACUAGUUACUUCAAGACCACAUAAUCAUUGCCAGACAGCGUCAGCCGUACCAGCAUGCCAUGGCAAAGACAGUCGAGCCACUACAUGAACUGGCACUAGCACCUCAGGUUGUGUUGCAUGGUUUUCACGGCGGCCUGGCGGAACGUAAAAUGUAGUUCGUGUUGUUGAGGUUGGGAAUAGAAGGCAUAUCCCAUAGCCAUCCCUACUGUGUGCUCAGUCUAGUCCCACCGAUCUACUCUACUAGCAGUAGAUCUACUACGCACUCGAGUGCUGGCAGUUACUAGUACUUGGCAGCAUACCUAGCCGGCUUCAUUCAUAUCGGAUAAUUAUCGAUAUCCAGCUUGAAGGGCACGGCGUCGGGAGCACAGCAGCCUAGCCAGGCGGACGGAACAGCACAGCACCGGAGGAUCUUCCGCCACACAACGCACGCCAACCAGCUCUAUCAGACAGAUUCAGAAAUCAGAGGGAUGGACAGACAGGAGAAGCGCUGUUGGCGACAUCCGCUCUAUCAGAAAAAAAACUUCCACAAAAUCCUUUCUGCUGCCGAGCCUGUUGGUCUACGACUGGAACUCGCCUCCAAAUGCCGCAUCACGCAGAACCAGAAAUUGAAGCUGAUUAACACGGAAAACAGCAAGGGCCCAGUCUGCCAUAAUGAGGAGCUGCUGCAGAUGAUAAGCUGCGGAGGCACAGCAGCAUUCCGUGACCUGCGAGACUCACUCGCGGCGAUCUUGCCAGUUGGCCACGAGGGUUUGCUAAGCGAUCUGCAGAAAGUGCUGGACGAAGUGUAGCUACUGGUACAGUGACCAUCCACGGUUGGUAGAGUCAACCGUGGAUGGUUGUGGAAAGGUCACUGGGUACCGAACACGGUGUCCUCCACCUUGUUUCAUGCUGUCAAACCAACAACACUGUACAACACUGUACAUACAUGUACAUACAUGUACUGAAGUACUGGACUACGGGUACAUGUGCCUACUGCAAUGCGCUGAUCAGUCCACAAAGGACGAAACAGUUCUGCCUUCAGAUUGAGUGCCUGCUGUGUAUGAAUACUUUGUGUUUUUUUUUAACGUUUGUUCUGACCUUCGACUUGAGAAUUUGUCGUGAGAAAAUAUUGGGGCGCUUUCGAUUACA